rnacentral:lncRNA from 10 species
CUUUCUGAAUCCACAAAUGAGCAGCUUGGAGAAGUGCAUUGGCAGGCAUAUCAGCUACCCUAGGGGGUGACCACCCAGUGCCUACCAUGCAGGUAACAUCUGAUACCUCAGAUUGGAGGACAAGACCAAGAAGUUAACAAAAUUAAGAGACAAUGCCACAGCACAUAUACAGAUAGACAUCUUUUUCUGAAUAGGAAUCCAGAGACCACAUGGAUCACAGUGGAAAACAUAAUGAAGCCGGGUGCAGUAGCUCACGCCUGUAAUCCCAGCACUUUAAGAGGCCAAGGCAGGCGGAUCACUUGAGGCUGGGAGUUCAAGAAGAACCUGGGCAAUGUAGUGAGACUCUGUCUCUAAAAAAAAUUUAAAAUAAAUAAAAAUAAAUUUUAAUUACCCAGGUGUGGUGGCAUGCACCUGUAGUCCCAGCUACUCAUAAAGCUGAAGUGGGAGGAUCUCUGAGCCCAAAGUUUGAAGCUGCAGUGAGCUAUGAUCACACCACUGCACUCCAGCCUGGGCAACAGAGCAAGACCCUGAAGACCUAUCUCUUGA